rnacentral:rRNA from 1 species
UACAGAGGUCUCAAGCGUUGUUCGGAUUCAUUGGGCGUAAAGGGUGCGUAGGCGGCGCGGUAAGUCGGGUGUGAAAUCUCGGAGCUUAACUCCGAAACUGCAUUCGAUACUGCCGUGCUUGAGGACUGGAGAGGAGACUGGAAUUUACGGUGUAGCGGUGAAAUGCGUAGAUAUCGUAAGGAAGACCAGUGGCGAAGGCGGGUCUCUGGACAGUUACUGACACUGAGGCACGAAGGCCAGGGGAGCAAACAGG